UGCAGGUUUGUAUUAGCAAGGAUCAAUUUAUUGGUGUUUUGGGAUUCAUAUUUUUUUAUACACAGGUUUCCAGGUUCACGCACACAUUCUGUAUAUAGUUCAGUGACAUUCAAUUUACAUACAGUGACAUUCAAGAUCUUUGUUGAGCUGCGAAUUAUUAGAGUCAGGUGUGCCAAAUUAAGGUUGAAAUGAAAACCUACAGGAUGGUAGAUCUCCAGGAACAGGGUUGGGCAGCCCUGCUCUACGUGUUGAAUGAGGUGUGCUCAUAGAGCUGUGACAGGCUGGCUCCUCCCCCUCAUAACGCUGUGAGAGGCUGGCUCCUCCCCCUCAUAGUGCUGUUACAGGCUGGCUCCUCCCCCUCAUAACACUGUGACAGGCUGGCUCCUCCCCCUCAUAGUGCUGUGACAGGCUGGCUCCUCCCCCUCAUAGCACUGGGACAGGCUGGCUCCUCCCCCUCAUAGUGCUGUGACAGGCUGGCUCCUCCCCCUCAUAGCACUGGGACAGGCUGGCUCCUCCCCCUCAUAGUGCUGUUACAGGCUGGCUCCUCCCCCUCAUAACGCUGUGACAAGCUGUGUGUCUUUAAAACCGACAGGGCGUUCUGUGUGUGUUUGUUGGGGGCGGUAUGUGUUUACACCCAUACACCUAGGCUAAAGAUUUUCUAACUCAGUUUUUCACAACUCUGCACAUUUUAUGUUACCAUACAAUUCUUUUGGCAAGUGAAUUAGGGCAUCUACUUUGUUCAUAUCAGAGGUCGUUUUAAAACAAUAAAUUAGAGACAGAUUUAUUUCUUUAUUAUCUUUAAUGAACUAUAUCAGAAUUCCAGUGGGUCAAAAUUUUACAUACACCAAGUUGACUGUCUCUUUAAACAGCCUGGAAAUUCCAGAAAUGAUGUAAUGACUUUUUAGAAGCUUCUGAUUGGCCAAUUGUCAUAAUUAGGAGUUCAUUUGAAGUGAAUUGGCACCUGUGGCUGUAUUUAAGGGUCUACUUCAGAGCCACUGUCUUUUUGUCUUUGAUACCAUGGGGAAAUCCAAACAACUCAGCCAAGACCUCAGAAAAAAAAUUGUGGACCUCCACAAGUCCAGUUUCUCCUUAGUAGCAAUUUCCAAACAAAUGAAGGUACCACGAGCAUCUGUACAAACAAUUGUAUGCAAAUCUAAAAAUCUUGGGACCACACAGACACUGCAUUGUUCAGGAAGGAGGCACAAAUUAACUCCCAGGGCUGAACGAACUUUGGUCCAAAAGGUUGAACUGAACCCCAAGACAACAACAAA